rnacentral:sRNA from 1 species
UUUCCUGGGAGAUGACCUGACCCUUAGGUCUUCUUAUAAUAAAUGUACAUUUUAUCAGACUCAGACAUUUAUUACUCAAAACGGAAAGAGGGUCUGGCUGGCUCUGUCGCCCAGGCUGGAGUGCAAUGGCCUGAUCACAGUUCACUGCAACCUCGACCUCCGGAGCUCAAGCGAUCCUCCCUCCUUAGCCUCGUAAGUAGCUGGGAUUACAGGCGUGCCUGAAAACUGCUACCGCUGCUGCUCUCGAGGGCCCAAGGGAACCCUGGGGCUUCUCUGGACGGCCGCCCUGGGGACCGGGUGAAUCUCUCCUGCGUAGGAGUCUCUCAUCCCAUCCGCUGGGUCUGGGCGCCCAGCUUCCCGGCCUGCAAGGGCCUGUCCAAAGGACGCCGACCGAUCCUGUGGGCCUCUUCGAGCGGGACCCCCACCGUGCCUCCCCUCCAGCCUUUCGUCGGCCGCCUACGCUCCCUGGACUCUGGUAUCCGGCGGCUGGAGCUCCUCUUGAGCGCGGGGGACUCGGGCACCUUUUUCUGCAAGGGCCGCCACGAGGACGAGAGCCGUACAGUGCUUCACGUGCUGGGGGACAGGACCUAUUGCAAGGCCCCCGGGCCUACCCAUGGGUCCGUGUAUCCCCAGCUCCUGAUCCCGCUGCUGGGCGCUGGGCUGGUGCUGGGACUGGGAGCUUUGGGCCUGGUCUGGUGGCUGCACAGGUGCCUGCCCCCGCAACCGAUUCGACCACUCCCUAGAUUUGGUGAGACUAAUUCCACCCCAUUUUCUUUCUCCUACACACCCACUCCCCACCCCUCAAUUCCUGAGUCUGAGCCCUUGCUGGGAGCAGACACGUUGGUCACCUUCUCUCCAUCCUUCAGCUCUGUCCCCCCUACAUAGCUCCACUUGUGAGAACCGAGCCCCAGAGGCCAGUAAAGGAGGAAGAGCCCAAGAUUCCAGGGGACCUGGACCAGGAACCGAGCCUGCUCUAUGCGGAUCUGGACCAUAUAGCCCUCAGCAGGCCCCGCCGGCUGUCUACAGUGGAC